GUCCUCGAUCAUUUGGUCCAGAAGACGCUGUGUCUCAGACACUGCACAACAAACUAUGUUCUCCUUCAGCUCCUCCAGACGGGCAUUAGCCCCUUCCAGAGGCUGAUCUGAGCCACUGCAGGUCUGAGGACAUGUCCAAAGUAAAGCAUCAGCUCCCCCCCCAAAAAUAAAAAAGAGACAAAAAUAAUCAUUGCUGCUAAAUAUUCACAUCUCAUAAUCCUGCUGUGGUAUUUGGUUUGAAGAGGUGGAUGAGUGUUCAUUGUUCAGUCGUUUGCAUUUUAUUUUAAUGUUUUCAUUAAAAUGUUAUGUUGCUGUGA